GUAAACCACUCGGCACACUUUCAAAAUGGCUAAUUGUGCCCAAUUGUGCCGAAAGUGUGCCGAAACGUGCCGAGAAAAAAAAAGUUUGGCGGCACUGGUUUUCAUAAUGUUGGCAUCACGGGGAGAAAUAAUGUAAAUAAAUAACAAAAACAGAGGAACUCCUUCGAAAAGCUUCGAACCUUUGAAAGGAAUUAUUAAUCUUAGCUGUUAAAUCAUAUAUAUAUUUCGUAUAAAACCGCAUUCAGGUCAGUGAAAUAACACACAUGAAAUAUAUUUAAUUUUUCGCUACCCUUGGCCUCACACGCACCACAAACAACGGAAAUUUGCAAGUGGAUCAUCGCGGCCAUCGAAACCGGGUGGUUUUAUCAUCGGUUUCACCACAGAAGUUACCGGCAUAUAGUACUAUUCCCAUAAAAGAACCCGGAAUAAGCAGGCAAUAUGUUGCUGCCACUCCGUAUGAAUGCAUUAUACGGGACAUUAUAUUUACCACCAAGCACAUCCAUCCUGUGGUGGCGCAUUAUCCUGUGCCAGUGUCUAUUAUUCCCCACGUCCAACCGGAAUUCCAUGCCUACUCUUUUCGGAGGUGUUCUGGAACGAUCCAUCGCCGAGUGAACCUUGUCGACUUAUGCGGAACCGUUUGUCUAAAUGCGCCAAUAAGCAUCAACAACCGAAACUAACACUUCUGAUUAUCGUUUCUGACCAAAAGCAACCAUUUGAACACCUUCAGAAGGAAAUAUCAAUGUGGCAGAUAAGCGUAGGAUCCGACGACAAAGAGGACCCGGUGAGGAACAAUUGACGUAGUCGUUGUUUUUAACAGUAACAGCAUAAAAAUAAGAAUGUGAAAAUAAAACCACAUAAAACUG